UUCUAAAUAUAACCCGAGCACGACAGAGGCGCUCACGUGGGGCUAUUACUGGAUGAAAAGUGCUAAAAAUAGCCGCACUUUGGAGGUGCAGACGUUUUAUGACUGGAAAUAUAGACGUUAUACUCGUUUACAACAGGGGAGGUGUGUUAUCACAUGACAGAGCAGGAAACACCUGUGUGUUUUUUUCAUUAAAUAGGAUUUCUUGUUUUCAUAGAAUAGCUAGAAACUCCCUACUAGCCUCAACUAACCUCUUGGAGGAAAAGUAUGAAGAAAGCUAGAGGGAUCAUUCAGGGUGAGAAGCAGUUGGGAGUUUUUCCAAAGAGGGAAGAACCGGCACGUGACUGAAUGGACCGUCUUGUUCCUUCCAUCCAUUGUCUUAUCACUCACUCCUUGUGUCUGAUGCAUUUGCCUAAGUGUGUCACACACACACACACACACACACACACUCUCUCUCUCUCUCUCUCUCUCUCUCUCUCUCUCUUCACCACCGCUGGAUUAGUCCUCCUGCGU